GCUGCUUGGGUGUGCUCGUUUCUCCAGCUCACAGGCAACGGGCAGGCAGCGUGACCAGCCUGGCCUCUCCCCCGGCACUCACGAGAUCCAGGUGACCCUUCCAGACUGGUGAAAAAAUGUAAGUGUUGAUUUUCGGUGUUAAUAACCCCUGAAGAGAGGAAACUGCUGAGAACGGCUGGUGCAUACGAUGAAUUUGGAGAAUUCCCCGGAGUGGGUCAAGGAGACCUUUCCAGUCUCUUCCCGUGUGCUUUAUCUCCAAAGGUGGAAGCUCCCACAGGGGCUGGUAAACAUCAAUCCAGAGGCAACCAUCCAGUCCAGGAAGUCUCAAAGCUACAGACCACUGGAAACCCAGAGGGUGUGCUGAGAAAGGACCCAUCCUUGGGCUCCUUCCCAUGUAGCCCAUUAGCUAUUUGGGGUUUUUCCCCUUGUGGCACAGCAGUACCAGCGGUGACACGUGGAGUGGCUGCAGCAAACCCAUCCCUCAGUUCCAGAAGGCACUGCUGGACAGUCCUCACUCCGAGGCCAGGUGGUGACAAGAUGCUUUGGUCAAUGGACCUUUGAUCUCUCUCAUUAAUGCAGCAUUUUAUUUUUAAUAGUCAGGAAUACGAACUGGGGUGCAAGCUGCCACCCAUCUCUGCCCACCCGGGGGUAUUGCAUGGUUUUUCCUAACCUGUUUGAGAUGUAAAAUGGCAGCGUGGAGUAGGAUGGCAUCUGCCUGCUGUUGUCCACCUCCUCCCUGCCCCAACCUGGGGCCUGGGGCCAUUGCAGCGUCUGCAAACUCAGCAUCCAGGCUGCAGAACGAACCCUGCAAUAGUUGAAUUAACCCUUCCCGCCCUGGCAGACCUGUGGUUUAGAGCCAGAGCCUGCCCAGCUCAGCAGCUCGCCUGACCUCUGCGGCGUUGCGGCAGAGCAGUGCCGUUCAGGCACCAUCACUGCCCACAGCUUCCUUGCGAUUAUCCUGUGAGCUCAGAAAUGACAGGCAAAUCUUGUGCAGUUCUCUGGGAAACUCAAGGCAACCUUGGAACAAGCCCUUACGCCAAGCGCAUGCAGGCCUGCGUUAGACACAGCCUACACAAGCGAGUAUCGGGCUCCAAGAGCGGACUGUAAACUAAACGAAUCCAGGUGAAAGAUGCUGCAUUUGCAUCAGUGUAUUUUAUUUCAAGAGGAGGAAUGUCUCUUUCUUGUGUGGUCUUGUACAAGGGAAGACUUUGGAUGUGUCCACCUUGUUUUAUGCCCAGCUCUGGGCCCUGGAUCCUCACGCCGCAGUUGUGCCUGCUCACCUCUGGGGACAAGCCAUACAGAAGGAAACCCUGGCAUACGUCUCUCCAGCUGCGCUUCACACGUGACAGUAGGGACACGGGACACGUCACGCUGGGCACCUUCUACCAAGAUUUUCCUUGUCCUGAAAAGUUAAACAUCAAAAGAAUCACAAAGGAGGAAUUAAAGUUCUCAGCAACGUGAGGGUUAUUUUAUUUCAUGGGUAGGGUUUUCAUGGGAACUAAAGGGCUGAAUGAAUGGCUGGAAGAAAGACUCUGAAAGUAGAUCAACGGAGAGGUAGGGAAGAACACGGAGGCCAGCGGAGGUGGCACUGAACUGAAAGGAGCUCGGUGGGAGAAUGGAGACAACAACCAGCAGAGGGAGAGAAUAUCCAGGGUAAAAACUGAAUAAAGCAGUGGAGAUCAGGUGUCCAACUGGACCGUGGCUGACAGCCUUUCUUUUUCUGACUGUUUUCUGUUUCUUGGUAGCCCUUCCCACCAGAGAAGGGCCCAAAAUGAGGAAAUGAGCAAAUGAGCAAUUCACAAUAGUAAAGUGACCACAUGAAAUUCUAAUCCGUAGCGGAGCAGUGCAGAAAGGAACUAGUGGAAUUCCCAUGGUGGUGGGUGGCAGAGAUGUUCGAGCAGCAUCACGGUCUGAAGUAGUGCAUGAGCACGGGGUGGGGGACCAAGAUGUAUCAGCCGAGUAAACAAAUCUGCCAAACAGAUCCAUAGCGUGGCAGCUCCCCGCAGCUGCUGGAGCUGCUCUUGGCUGGGAGGAGUGUUAACACGGAGCUAUGCUGAUGUUCUCGCAGGGCAGGAGGAUGGCCACGCUCACUCGCUCCUUUGCAAAAACCCGGUGGAAGUUGCAACACAGCAGGGAGCAGCUGCUAGUUUUUAAUUCAGACCAUCUGAAUGCCUGGAAGAGGAGAGAGCUUAUCGACCGCUCAGGAUUUCUGAAGGUUCAAGCGGAGGACAGGGGCUGGGAUAAAACGGGACAUUCCACAAGGGAGGCCACAGAACAGCAGCCGCCGACAGCUGAGCCUCCUCAACGGCUCGCUGUCCUGACCCCACGCUCGCAGGAUUUCCUCUCUGCUCUCGUACCACAUAACGAGAUCUGUUCUUGUCACAGGAAACAUGUCCAUGCUUAUUUGUGUUACCUGCUAAUCGGUGUGAGAUGAUGCUGAACGUUUCAGCCUUGCAGAAAGUUGGAGCAGGUCUUUGUGACAUGAUAAAACACUGCGCAGUGGUAGCGGGAAUCCUUAAUGCCUCAGGUAUCUGAUCCCAGGUAGAGGAAGGAUACUUCAUGACAGGAUUUCAUAUUACAGCAUCCAUCAGCGAUUUCAGAGCUCAAAUGCCUGAAGCAGGAGUUUGGGUCAGGCCCAUUUUACUUCUCCAUUAGAAAGCUUCUUCCAAAACCUUUGCUCAUUACAGCUAUCUCUGUAAUGUUGGGAGCAGAAGUGCUCCCAAGCCUCUGGACCCAGAGUGAGCCCUUACUCUGCAUGAAGACAAGGCCUGGGGAUGCAGGGAUGCAUUCGCCCUGCCAGAAGGAGACUUCUCAGUGUCCUCUAGCCACUGUCCUGAGCUGGAUGAUUGCAGCACCUGAACACCUCCAGCAUGGACCAAGUCUGAUGCGUGUCUCACCUGACCGUGCCACCCACCUCUGUCUCCCUCCAUCCCUGAACUGAGGCUUUGCUCCACGUAACAUGCCAACCCUACACACCCUGAUCCCUAGUAAAGGGCAUAAUUUACUCAGGCUCAUUUGGCCUCGUUGCCUGGUAGAGGCCAGUCCUGAUUUGCUGACAAAAACUUUCUUGUCUGAGAUACCGGAGUAUAGGUGCAACUUUAUGCACCUUCCUACCCUCCCUAUGCAUUGAGAAAGAGAGAGGAUAGCAGACACGAAAAAUGUCAUCUCCAGACUGCUGCAGUUUGGGAAGGAGCAAUAUACACGUGCAUCACUUUGAGACACGUAUAAGCCAACCUUUUUUUUGUCCUCAGCCUAUGAAUUUUCAGAAACUACUAACAAGAUUAGCCCAUGUAAACGAACGCUCCAGGUCCCCAGCUCCCCCGUGUCCACGUGUGCUCUGCUGGGGCCUGCGGGAAGAGCAAGCCGUAGCUAAACGGGGAUAAAGAUGGUGCUUUCAAAUGGGAGAAGGAGCAUUGCUAGGAAGUGCUGCAAUACUGCAGUGAAAGAUGAGCCACCAGGCCCUUUGGCUAAGACGUGAAAGCAAGCUUCCAGACUCUUUUUGCUGGGAGUAAAACUUGCAACACGCUGCAUGUUAUUUUGAAAUGGCCUGCACACCAUAGUUUGGAAACCCAGGAGAGUUAAUGUGGCUUUUGGACUCUGCAUGAAUGCCACUUCCUAGCUUGGGCCUUGUGUAACAUUAAUUUCCAGGUAACUAACAAUGACUGAAGUUUUAUCUGUAUUGUGUAAUAUAGCGAAAUUACAGUGGGAUGGAACAAGACUGGCUAAGAACAAAGUCCUCUUUAUGCACAAAGCAAAGGCAGCAUAGAGAGUAUCAAUUCCAGCGCCUCCUUCCACUGAAAUACUUCAAAUCUGGUCUCCGUGUUUGCUGCUAAGGUCAGGCAACACAUCCAUUAACGUCUCCAUUAUUGAUCUCUCCACAUCAAUGAAGAUAAAGCCUGUCCAGAAGCUGCUCUAAAAAUCCAGCACAUUUUUUUCCCUGAAAAAGCCCUGGAUGUGUAGUUCUAAAUUCCAAAUGAAUCAAAGUUGCAUCUUGACUCUA